AGGAACAGAUACCCUGGAAGCCCACACCGUAAACGAUUAUUACUAGGUGUUGGGGGUCGAACCUCAGCGCCCAAGCAAACGCGAUAAGUAAUCCGCCUGGGGAGUACGUACGCAAGUAUGAAACUCAAAGGAAUUGACGGGGACCCGCGCAAGCGGUGGAGCAUGUGGUUUAAUUCGACGCAACGCGAGGAACCUUACCAGCGUUUGACAUCUUAGGAAUGAAACA
rnacentral:rRNA from 1 species